UACGGGGGGGGCAAGCGUUGUUCGGAAUUACUGGGCGUAAAGGGCGCGUAGGCGGCCGCCUAAGUCGGACGUGAAAUCCCUCGGCUCAACUGAGGAACUGCGUCCGAGACUGGGUGGCUUGAAUCCGGGAGAGGGAUGUGGAAUUCCAGGUGUAGCGGUGAAAUGCGUAGAUAUCUGGAGGAACACCGGUGGCGAAGGCGGCAUCCUGGACCGGUAUUGACGCUGAUGCGCGAAAGCCAGGGGAGCAAACGGG
rnacentral:rRNA from 1 species